rnacentral:rRNA from 1 species
UGGCGGCAGGCCUAACACAUGCAAGUCGAGCGGAAACGAGUUAACUGAACCUUCGGGGGACGUUAACGGCGUCGAAGCGGCGGACGGGUGAGUAAUGCCUAGGAAAUUGCCCUGGAUGUGGGGGAUAACCAUUGGAAACGAUGGCUAAUACCGCAUGAUGCCUACGGGCCAAAGAGGGGGACCUUCGGGCCUCUCGCGUCAGGAUAUGCCUAGGUGGGAUUAGCUAGUUGGUGAGGUAAGGGCUCACCAAGGCGACGAUCCCUAGCUGGUCUGAGAGGAUGAUCAGCCACACUGGAACUGAGACACGGUCCAGACUCCUACGGGAGGCAGCAGUGGGGAAUAUUGCACAAUGGGCGCAAGCCUGAUGCAGCCAUGCCGCGUGUGUGAAGAAGGCCUUCGGGUUGUAAAGCACUUUCAGUCGUGAGGAAGGUUUAUGCUGUUAAUAGCGUAUUCAUUUGACGUUAGCGACAGAAGAAGCACC